GCCCCGGGAUCCAACAGGUGGAGGCCCCACCACAAAGCAGGUCAUAACCCAGCAGGUACGCACGGUGCAAUCCGCGUGCGUCUGCGUGACACUUGCACAUGAUCUGUAUGUGCCGUACUGCUUUUAUAGAAUUAUUCCAAAAUCUUAAACGUGGAUUAUUUCUGUUAUUAAACAAGUUGGUUUUUUUUGUUUUUCUAGAAUAGUCCCCAUUUACACAGACCCGCGGGCAUCACUAGAGACAAUAUGCAGCCCGGAGAGGUUGAAUGAACCUGGGACGGAGCAGGACUGUCUCGGGGCUUCAGUGGCAGAAGCAGCAUCAGCCCCCGGGGAGCGGAGAGCGGGGAGCAGGGGGGCUGAACCGGCCCGAGGCCUCCCCGCAAGGAGCAGACCCCAGGCAGGAGGAGCAACGAGCCCUCCCUGCACUUGUCUCUCCAAGCAGGUUUUUGGCCCAUCACGGCUGGGAAGCAAGCGCCCCCCACUCCACGUGCGACUCCCAACCCGCAGAGAAAGGCGGCUCUGGAGUGUGGGUCACACACGCAGCCCCCCACCUGCACAAAAGCAGGGAGCGCCCCAGACACCUGCAGCCCAGGCCUUCACGGCUGCUGGUUGGUUUGCUGGGACCUCAAAGCGUCUCCUGGAGGCUCUCCGUGCCCCUAAGGCGCCUACGGAAGCCCAAACCCCACCCGGUCGCCGGGUGCACUUACAUACCACCUUCCAUCCAUGGGCCACGGCUCUGUCGGGAACACCGGCUCCCUAAGUCCCGGCGACACGCGUCAGUGUCCUCGCCUCCAUCCCGGACUCGGACGCACUUGGACACGUGGGCAGUUAGGUGGCCCGUCAACGGCUACAACCCAAGACAACAUCCCCACGAGCCGCCCCCGGCCUCCCUGCCUCCCUGCCUCCCCUGGCCCCUGCGAGCCCCUCGCUGGCCUGGCCUGGGUCUCACGCACACACCGCGUCUCCCUGGUGCCGGGGGUGGCCUCCUGCUUCCUGCUCUGGCUUUGGCAGCUGGCCCAGGGCAGCGCGACCAGCCACAGGCGCCUCAGCCUGCGUGAGCGGGAGGCUUGGCUCCCCGGGCCCGGGGCGCGUGUCCAGCUGUCACUCGCCCGGGCGCCCCGCGGGG
rnacentral:lncRNA from 1 species